AUGAACGCUGGCGGCGUGCCUAAUACAUGCAAGUCGAGCGAACAGAUGAGGAGCUUGCUCCUCUGACGUUAGCGGCGGACGGGUGAGUAACACGUGGAUAACCUACCUAUAAGACUGGGAUAACUUCGGGAAACCGGAGCUAAUACCGGAUAAUAUAUUGAACCGCAUGGUUCAAUAGUGAAAGACGGUUUUGCUGUCACUUAUAGAUGGAUCCGCGCCGCAUUAGCUAGUUGAUAAGGUAACGGCUUACCAAGGCAACGAUGCGUAGCCGACCUGAGAGGGUGAUCGGCCACACUGGAACUGAGACACGGUCCAGACUCCUACGGGAGGCAGCAGUAGGGAAUCUUCCGCAAUGGGCGAAAGCCUGACGGAGCAACGCCGCGUGAGUGAUGAAGGUCUUCGGAUCGUAAAACUCUGUUAUUAGGGAAGAACAAAUGUGUAAGUAACUAUGCACGUCUUGACGGUACCUAAUCAGAAAGCCACGGCUAACUACGUG
rnacentral:rRNA from 1 species